AAUUAUUAAAACAAUUUGUGUAUAUACCGAUGCAUAACAAUACAUACCAUUGUUUUCAAUGUUAUAUACUGAUGCAUAUAACCAUACAAUACAUUAGUUGUGUGAGUGAGUAUGAGCGAGUGUAUGUGUUUGUGAGUGAGUGAAUGUGUCCAUGUGAGUGUGUGUGUGUUCGUGAGUGUGUCUGUGAGUGUGACCGUGUGUGAGUGACAUAUAUAUUGACAAUAGUAUAAACUGAUAAUAAGUGUAUAUAUACGGUUAUGCACUUUACACAUACACACAUCAAUAUAUACACAGCAUAUAUAUACAGACAUAACGCUCACGCACUCACAUAUAACAUUGUAUUUUUAAUACACAAAUAACUGUAUAUAAAGCUGAUAACUAAUUUUAUGUAAUGAUAAAUGCAUCAGUAAAUAAAUAUACACUGAAAACAAUGGUAUGCAUUGCUAUACAUCAAUACGUACACAAAUUGUGCUAAUAAC
rnacentral:lncRNA from 1 species